AGAUGUUUAUCAUUUCCUCAAACUAAUGGACAAUAACUUAUGUUACAAAGUGAGAGAAUCAACUGGAAUUUAUUAAUUUUGUAAAUUAGGAUGCCAAUAAAAAAUGAUUAACCUAAAAAUGUGUAAACUACAGUGUAUACACGUACUCUAAAGGGUGAUUUCUGAUAAAAAGUUUACGGAUUUGUCGAAGAUUAUUUAUGCAGAAUCACAAGAGCUUUUCAAUCUAUCUUGGCUUUUUGUGCAUGGACUGUUUUUGGAAGUGUUCACAUGCUAGUUCAACAACAUAGUGGAUUCAGAUUGAUUGGUUAUGGAGGCGCUGUGCAAUGCGCAUUUCAAAAGGUUGAAUUAAAACGUCCACGUGACCUGAUUGGAAUAGUGACUUGAAGGAGAUGUAUUUUAAUUUGAAGAAAUAUUAUGAAUAUUUCAAAUACAUGAACAUUUUCUUCGUGACGUGAAUAACAUUAUUGUCUUGACAUUUCAAUGACUGAAACAUUCAGUAACAUAAUGACAUUUUAACCUUAUCAAGUUUUGUAAGAUGUACAAACAGAGACAAAAGUUCAUGUGGAAUAUAUUUCAAACGAUUCCUUAAAUAUAAAAGGAAUCAAAAGUGAAAAUGAGUUCAGGGGUAAACUUAAAACACACAUUUUUAAAAAGGUUUUCAAGUGACUUUACGAAUAAAAAGCAGGACAAUAAUGUCACACUGUUAGAAUUUUAAAGUGACUGUAUAAUUUGUAAUUGUUAUAGUAUUAUGACAAAGCCUUUGUUUGGAAUGUGACCAUCUAGUGAUAUGCAAAUACUGUAAAUAAGUUGUAUUUGAUAUUUGUGAUUAAUUUUUCUUAAAUAAUUUUUUUUUU
rnacentral:lncRNA from 1 species